rnacentral:rRNA from 1 species
UCGAGCGAGGUUUUGUUGAAUGAUUUCUUCGGAAUGAAUUCUUUAAAACCCCUUGGCGGACGGGUGAGUAACACGUGGGUAACCUGCCCUUCCCUAGGGGAUAACAUUUGGAAACAGAUGCUAAUACCGUAUAAGCCUCAGAAACACAUGUUUCUGAGUUGAAAGGCGGCUUUCGAGCUGUCGCUUUUGGAUGGACCCGCGGCGUAUUAGCUAGUUGGUGAGGUAAAGGCUCACCAAGGCAGUGAUACGUAGCCGACCUGAGAGGGUGAUCGGCCACAUUGGGACUGAGACACGGCCCAAACUCCUACGGGAGGCAGCAGUAGGGAAUCUUCCACAAUGGACGAAAGUCUGAUGGAGCAACGCCGCGUGAGUGAAGAAGGUUUUCGGAUCGUAAAACUCUGUUGUUGGAGAAGAACACGUUUGAGAGUAACUGUUCAGACGUUGACGGUAUCCAACCAGAAAGCCACGGCUAACUACGUGCCAGCAGCCGCGGUAAUACGUAGGUGGCAAGCGUUAUCCGGAUUUAUUGGGCGUAAAGCGAGCGCAGGCGGUUUCUUAAGUCUGAUGUGAAAGCCUUCGGCUUAACCGAAGAAGUGCAUCGGAAACUGGGAAACUUGAGUGCAGAAGAGGACAGUGGAACUCCAUGUGUAGCGGUGAAAUGCGUAGAUAUAUGGAAGAACACCAGUGGCGAAGGCGGCUGUCUGGUCUGUAACUGACGCUGAGGCUCGAAAGCAUGGGUAGCGAACAGGAUUAGAUACCCUGGUAGUCCAUGCCG